GUAUUCUCAAACUGUUUUUGUUUUAAUUGGAAUGAUACAAAGAAAAUAACAUGGUUCCUACACAAGGACAACAGAGGAAAUCAAUAAAUAUGUGUGGUUUUU